CACAUUAAAAUAAUCUUUUUAAAAAAAGUCUGUAAAAUGUUCAUAUGAAUGUAAUUAUAUUUUUCUUACCAUUAGCAUUUUAUCCCAACAAAGGUAAUGAGAAUAAUAAACAAACUUAUGCAACCUGACAGUUAAUGUCAGAUUUUCGUCAACACAAAACGUCCGGCAAUUUGGUUUAAGUUUGAUAAUUUCCAAAAUUUCGGCACAUCCAGACCACUAUUUGCCAUGAAAUACUCGAAGGGAACAUUGAUGAGAUUUCCCUUAAUUUUUGGCGGAAUAUUACUUGGAUUUUCAGUUGCAUUUUACAAUAGGGAUAAGUUCAUGACUGAUUUGGAGGAAGAACGAAAGAAGCUGGACCGAGAGGAGGAAGGUUCGCGGCAGAUCCUACUCGAGGCAAUGGAAACUGUGAACAAAGCUAGAGCUGCAAGGCAGCAGAACAAAUAAAGACGCAAUUUAAAAUGUUUUA